UGGCGGACGGGUGAGUAACGCGUGGGUAACCUGCCUCAUACAGGGGGAUAACAGUUAGAAAUGACUGCUAAUACCGCAUAAGACCACAGCACCGCAUGGUGCAGGGGUAAAAACUCCGGUGGUAUGAGAUGGACCCGCGUCUGAUUAGGUAGUUGGUGGGGUAACGGCCCACCAAGCCGACGAUCAGUAGCCGACCUGAGAGGGUGACCGGCCACAUUGGGACUGAGACACGGCCCAG
rnacentral:rRNA from 1 species